GUGAGUCAUCGAAUCUUUGAACGCACAUUGCGCCCCUUGGUAUUCCGAGGGGCAUGCCUGUUCGAGCGUCAUUACAACCCUCAAGCUCUGCUUGGUAUUGGGCCUCACCCGUCAGGGCGUGCCUUAAAAUCAGUGGCGGUGCCAUCUGGCUCUAAGCGUAGUAAUUCUCUCGCUAUAGGGUCCUGUGGAUGCUUGCCAGCAACCCCAAUUUUUUCUAUGGUUGACCUCGGAUCAGGUAGGGAUACCCGCUGAACUUAAGCAUAUCAAUAAGCGGAGGA
rnacentral:misc_RNA from 1 species